rnacentral:rRNA from 1 species
AUUGCCUUAGUAACGGCGAGUGAAGCGGCAACAGCUCAAAUUUGAAAUCUGGCUUCGGCCCGAGUUGUAAUUUGAAGAGGAUGUUUCCGGGGCGGCCUCGGGUCUGAGUCCCCUGGAACCGGACGUCGUGGAGGGUGAGAGCCCCGUACUUGGUUGGACACCAACUCCCUUGUGAAACCCCUUGACGAGUCGGGGAGGUUUGGAAUGCUGCUCAAAAUGGGAGGUAAUUUUCAUCUAAAGCUAAUACCGGCAAGAGACCCAUAGCGCACAAUGUCAAGGGAUCAAAAGAUGAAAAGCACUUUGAAAAGAAGGUUAAACAUUACGUGAAAUUGUUGAAAGGGAAGCGCUGGUGUCCAGACUCGCUUUUGGUGGAUCAUUCCCUCCUUGGGGUUGUUGCCCUUCGGCUAUCGGGCUAGCAUCCGUUUGGAGAGGGGGAUACGAGCUUCCGGAAUGUUCGUGGCCUCCGUGAAGAGUUAUAUCCUGUUGCAGAAUGCCUGCGGGGACCGAGGUUCGCGCAUCUGCAAGGAUGCUGGCGUAAUGGCGCUCCAAACACACCGCUUGAAACACGGA